rnacentral:rRNA from 1 species
GCUGACGAGUGGCGGACGGGUGAGUAACGCGUAGGAAUCUACCUAGUAGAAGGGGAUAGCCCGAGGAAACUCGGAUUAAUACCGUAUACCUCCUUUGGGAGAAAGAAGGCCUCUCUUUGAAGCUUUCGCUACUAGAUGAGCCUGCGUAAGAUUAGCUUGUUGGUGAGGUAAAGGCUCACCAAGGCGACGAUCUUUAGCGGGUCUGAGAGGACGAUCCGCCACAUUGGGACUGAGACACGGCCCAGACUCC